CUGGCGGCGUGCCUAACACAUGCAAGUCGAGCGGAGCCAUCUGAAGAGUCCUCGGGUGAUCAGGGAAGCUAGCGGCGGACGGGUGAGUAACACGUGAGUAACCUGCCCUUAUGAGGAGGAUAACACACCGAAAGGUGUGCUAAUACUGCAUAAUAUAUAUUUUUCGCAUGGAGAAUAUAUCAAAGAUUUAUCGCAUAAGGAUGGACUCGCGUCCGAUUAGGUAGUUGGUGAGGUAACGGCCCACCAAGCCGACGAUCGGUAGCCGGACUGAGAGGUUGAACGGCCACAUUGGGACUGAGACACGGCCCAGACUCCUACGGGAGGCAGCAGUGGGGGAUAUUGCGCAAUGGGGGAAACCCUGAACCGCAGCAACGCCGCGUGAAGGAUGAAGGUUUUCGGAUCGUAAACUUAUGUCAUCGGGGACGAGAAUGGACGGUACCCGAGGAGGAAGCCACGGCUAACUACGUGCCAGCCGCUGC
rnacentral:rRNA from 1 species